rnacentral:rRNA from 1 species
CUCUGAGACAGGUGCUGCAUGGCUGUCGUCAGCUCGUGUUGUGAAAUGUUGGGUUAAGUCCCGCAACGAGCGCAACCCUUAUCCUUGUUUGCCAGCGAGUAAUGUCGGGAACUCCAGGGAGACUGCCGGUGAUAAACCGGAGGAAGGUGGGGACGACGUCAAGUCAUCAUGGCCCUUACGAGUAGGGCUACACACGUGCUACAAUGGCGCAUACAGAGGGCAGCAAGCUAGCGAUAGUGAGCGAAUCCCAAAAAGUGCGUCGUAGUCCGGAUUGGAGUCUGCAACUCGACUCCAUGAAGUCGGAAUCGCUAGUAAUCGUGAAUCAGAAUGUCACGGUGAAUACGUUCCCGGGCCUUGUACACACCGCCCGUCACACCAUGGGAGUGGGCUGCAAAAGAAGUGGGUAGUUUAACCUUUCGGGGAGGACGCUCACCACUUUGUGGUUCAUGACUGGGGUGAAGUCGUAACAAGGUAGCCCUAGGGGAACCUGGGGCUGGAUCACCUCCUUA